GCUUGAAGUGGCUUUCUAGAGUCAAGUACCUGAGGAAAGAUCUAAACUCAAAUUUACUCAAAUGCAGGUCUAGCAUUUGAUCUAUCGUGCUAUUUAGACAUCAAAUUUCUCAGAGAGAUUUUUUCCUCCAUUUUCCUCCUGGGAGUUGUUCAAUUUUCUCUGGGCAUGAUUGAUCAUUGACUACUCAAUCACAUCUGUACCUCCUUCUCACUAAACUUCUCUGCUUUCUGUUCUCCCCUUUUCCAAGGGACAAUGAAAAGGCUGAUUCUUGGCUAGGGGCCUGUGAUGAGGGCCAUUUACCACUGUGCCUAGGUACCCAAGCAAACAAAGGGCUAGGCUAGUCUUACAGAAUCUCGUAUCUAAGCAACAUUGGUGCUAAGCAACCAUGGCACUUUAGCAUCAUGGAACCCUCCAGGCAGGGAGGGCCCUGGAUCUGGUCUAGAGAACAAGGUGAGAAGGAAACUAGAUGAGAGAGACUAUUGUUAGGUUUGACCCUUUGGAAAGCACCAUUUCUCCUGUCUUCCAGCUAAGGAAACAAAUUAUAACAAUAAAGCAGAGAUUCCUGAGAGUAACCUGGAAAAGCUGGAAAUUUAUAAAGCUGCCAUUUUAGUCAUGUUCUUUGUUUUACCAAAUGUUCAUAUUUCCAAAUGUGGCAAAAAUGUCCCCUCAGAAGAUUUUCUCAGCAUCAUCCUUCCGAAAGUUGUAAAUUCUUCUCCUUUUGCCUUCAAAUCUGUUCACAGAGAGCUAGGAGAAGGAUCACCGGGGACAGUUAAGAAUGAGAAAAUUAUACAGAGAAAUGGGGUAUCAGGGAUGAUGGGAGAGAGAAGGAGGGGACAUUUCUAAAUAAUUUUAAAUAUCUAGAUUAGGGUUAACAGGACUAUGUAGGAAUGAAUAAUGAUACGUAUGUAUUAGUAUUAUAAUGUCUUCCAAAACUAUCAAAUAUCCAUCUUCCCUCUUGUCUUUAUUUCCAGAAUCCUCCUCCAAGAGAGGACUGGGGAUUGUCCAUCAUCAGUGGCCUUAUGGGUCAAAGAUCCUUGUGCUCUGCUACAUCUUGGCAAACCCAGCCAGAUAUGGAAAACACUGGAAAAUAAGCCUCACUGCAGUGCCAGAUGAAACUAUUCCAAACACCCUAAACCUCUUUGGGCCCCACAUUUCUACAGGAUCAAUUGCAAUUCUUGGCUUUACUUCAUCAUUCUGCUGA
rnacentral:lncRNA from 1 species